CUCUCUUAGUAACACUGGAGCGCGUAGGAACACAAGUGGCAUUACGCAUUCCUGAUUUUUGACGCGCAUGCGUACUUGCGUACCAGUUAUGUGCACCCCUGCAUAUAAGCACACAUUCUACAAAGGUA